AUUGCAUUGAAAAGCCACAAGACUUCAUGAAAAUUACUCAGCCACUUUCAUUUUCAAUUUCCUUCACUCCACAAAAGGCUUAAAUGAGGUUAUUGUUACAAUAAAGCUUUGACUUUGGGAAAAAUGAUAUUUUAUAGGAUUAGCAAUACAAUAGAAGGAACGUGGUCCCUGAUCAACUUUUUGUAAAGGUGUGACUCAGUUUGAAAGACUGGCUACUGCCUUCUGUGAGAAAGAAGUCUGACAGAAAGCCAGUAGGAAAAUACCAAGAAGUGUGAGAAGCACACAGGAAAACUUCAAAACAUGCUAAACAUCAUGGAGGCCUGGAUGCAGAACAGAAAUGUAAAAUUGUGAAAGGCCCAGAAAUUCACUCUUACAGUUUGAAUUUUAAGAAAGUAACACUUAAAAAAUUCAAGAAUCAAACUUUCAACAUAAUACCUAUGAGAAAGUCUUCUUUAAAACAUAACAUUGGCUGGGAAAUGAUUUCAAAGGCAAAGGUUAUACCUGAAGUCAAACAACGCAAGCAUGUCAUACAUAGCUGGAGGAUCCAGUAGCUGCUCAUUCCAACAAGAUUAUGGCCUCAAAACAAGAGGGAUCAAGGAUGCAGCAGCAGUCCAAGGUUAAAGGC
rnacentral:lncRNA from 1 species